GAUGAACGCUAGCGGCAGGCCUAACACAUGCAAGUCGAGGGGUAGAAGGAGCUUGCUCCUUUGAGACCGGCGCACGGGUGCGUAACGCGUAUGCAAUCUACCUUGUACAGGGGAAUAGCCCAGAGAAAUUUGGAUUAAUGCCCCAUAGCAUUACGACUUGGCAUCAAGAUGUAAUUAAAGUUCCAACGGUAUAAGAUGAGCAUGCGUCCCAUUAGUUAGUUGGUAAGGUAACGGCUUACCAAGACGAUGAUGGGUAGGGGUCCUGAGAGGGAGAUCCCCCCACACUGGUACUGAGACACGGACCAGACUCCUACGGGAGGCAGCAGUGAGGAAUAUUGGUCAAUGGUCGCAAGACUGAACCAGCCAUGCCGCGUGCAGGAAGACGGUCCUAUGGAUUGUAAACUGCUUUUAUACAGGAAGAAACCCUCCCACGUGUGGGAGCUUGACGGUACUGUAGGAAUAAGGAUCGGCUAACUCCGUGCCAGCAGCCGUCGG
rnacentral:rRNA from 1 species